GUGGGGUGUGCAGGAAGGAAACAAGGUCCACUUGUGCAACAGACUUUGCCUUCCCCACUGCUCCCACAAACUUGUUCUGGGUUCCCCAGCAAAAACACACACACCAAAAACACCCUCUCUGGCAGAGGGCAGGGGAGUCUUGUUGCACAAGCAACAAGUUAGCUGAAUCUUGCCCUCCCUGGGAAAGGGUUAAGUAUACAACUUGCCAUUUCUCCAUGGCAAAAAGCCUUCUUUCAAGGAUGAUUUGCAGCAGACAAGCAGCCCUCGGGACAUGCAACUGCCUAUGUGAGGGAGUUCGAGCAGCAGCUUUCCAAACCUACACUGAAGAUUGUGGUUUAACCAAUGGCCCAUCCAGUCCACCUCCACAAUGUCUAACCAGAUGCCUAUGUUAUAUUCAAUACAGAACAACAGUCUCCCUGUAAUGAGCGCCACCUGGGAAUGGUUACUUAUGCUUCAGGUUUCAUGCAACUGGUAGCAGUGGUUACAUAUCCUCAUGAUCACUGCUCCUUGUGCAUUUUUCUAAUCUAUGGGGUAUGUACCUUUGUCCUUCUUGUAGUUGUAGCAUAUGGGUUGUAAUGUGUGAAGUUUAUAUAGCUUUCAUGUAUACAGGUCAUUGUUUCAUAUUUGAAUUCUUUUGUAGUUGUGCUGAAGAAGAUUCCAGCGAAACAGUCAGAUUAUCCAGAUCACUGUCCUACGUUGUUAUCCACUUACUACUUCGGCACCAUGAACGCCUAAAAAGUUUUACCACUUAGCCCACAGGAUAGCAUCUAUCACUUUGUUUCAACCAUAGACUUAUUAUACUUCUACGGACUUUCAAAGAUUGACAGAGG